rnacentral:rRNA from 1 species
CUCCGGAACUCUUCGGAGGAGUGAGGGAUGAGCGGCGGACGGGUGAGUACACGUAAGGAACCUGCCCCAAGGAUUGGGAUAACUCCGAGAAAUCGGAGCUAAUACCGAAUAGUUCUUCAGACCGCAUGGUCUGAUGAUGAAAGGCGCUUCGGCGUCACCUUGGGAUGGCCUUGCGGUGCAUUAGCUAGUUGGUGGGGUAAUGGCCCACCAAGGCGACGAUGCAUAGCCGACCUGAGAGGGUGAUCGGCCACACUGGGACUGAGACACGGCCCAGACUCCUACGGGAGGCAGCAGUAGGGAAUCUUCCACAAUGGACGAAAGUCUGAUGGAGCAACGCCGCGUGAGUGAUGAAGGUUUUCGGAUCGUAAAACUCUGUUGUAAGGGAAGAACAGGUAUGAGAGGUAAUGCUCAUGCUAUGACGGUACCUUNCGAGAAAGCCACG